CAUGUGGUUUAAUUCGAUGAUACGCGAGGAACCUUACCCGGGCUUGAAUUGCAUUGGAUGAAUCCCUUAGAGAUAAGGGAGUGCCCUUCGGGGAACAGUGAGACAGGUGGUGCAUGGUUGUCGUCAGCUCGUGUCGUGAGAUGUUGGGUUAAGUCCCGCAACGAGCGCAACCCUUGUGAAUAGUUGCUACGAAAGAGCACUCUAUUCAGACCGCCGCUGACAAAGCGGAGGAAGGUGGGGAUGACGUCAAAUCAUCAUGCCCCUUAUGACCUGGGCUACACACGUACUACAAUGGUCGUCAACAGAGGGAAGCAAGGCCGCGAGGUGGAGCGAACCCCUAAAAACGAUCUCAGUUCGGAUUGCAGGCUGCAACUCGCCUGCAUGAAGAUGGAAUUGCUAGUAAUCGCGGAUCAGCAUGCCGCGGUGAAUACGUUCCCGGGC
rnacentral:rRNA from 1 species